GAGUUUGAUCAUGGCUCAGAACGAACGCUGGCGGCAUGCCUCAUACAUGCAAGUCGAACGAGGUCUUCGGACCUAGUGGCGCACGGGUGAGUAACAUAUGGGAAUCUACCUGAAGGUUCGGAAUAACUGCGGGAAACUGUAGCUAAUACCGGAUGUGUCUGCAAAGAGAAAGAUUUAUCGCCUUCAGAUGAGCCCGCACUAGAUUAGCUAGUUGGUGAGGUAAUUGCUCCACCAAGGCUACGAUCUAUAGCUGAUUUGAGAGGAUGAUCAGCCACACUGGGACUGAGACACGGCCCAGACUCCUACAGGAGGCAGCAGUAGGGAAUAUUGGACAAUGGGGGAAACCCUGAUCCAGCAAUGCCGCGUGAGUGAAGAAGGCCUUCGGGUUGUAAAGCUCUUUCAUAAAUGAUGAUAAUGACAUUAGUUUAAGAAGAAGCCCCGGCUAACUUCGUGCCAGCAGCCGCGGUAAUACGAAGGGGGCUAGCGUUGUUCGGAAUCACUGGGCGUAAAGCGUAUGUAGGCGGAUCAAAAAGUUAGAUGUGAAAUCCCUGGGCUCAACCCAGGAACUGCAUUUAAAACUAGUGAUCUAGAAUUUGGUAGGGGUUAGUAGAAUUUCCAGUGUAGAGGUGAAAUUCGUAGAUAUUGGAAAGAAUACCAGUGGCGAAGGCGACUAACUGGGCCAUUUUUGACGCUGAGAUACGAAAGCGUGGGUAGCAAACAGGAUUAGAUACCCCUGGUAGUCCACGCAGUAAACGAUGAGUGCUAGUCGCUGGGACAAUAGUUUCAGUGUCGAAGCUAACGCAUUAAGCACUCCGCCCUGGGAAGUACGGUCGCAAGAUUAAAACUCAAAUAAAUUGACGGGGGCCCGCACAAGCGGUGGAGCAUGUGGUUUAAUUCGAAGCAACGCGAAGAACCUUACCAGACCUUGACAUGGUAUGUUUGAAUUACAGAAUCGUAGUUCUUCAGUUCGGCUGGCAUACACACAGGUGCUUGCAUGGCUGUCGUCAGCUCGUGUCG
rnacentral:rRNA from 1 species